CUCUUUCUCUUCUGGAAAGCCACCAGGAACACAAAGGUGAAGAAAAAAGACUGUGAGGAAGAGAACGGAGCCCACAGAUUGAAACCAGAGAGACCUUUAGGAUCAGCACCUGCUCCCAGAAUCCUCCAGGCUAGCCAGGAAGCCCCAUGCUCUUCAAAGGUUCCUGGCUAUCCAGCUGACAGAAAUGCAAGAGUCACUGCCAUGAGAGUCCUCCUGUCUUCCCAGUCUGCAGACAACACAGCAAAUAACAUCUUUCCCCUUCUCGGUUUGGACUGCUAAUGUGAUUGCAAGAGCAUAGUGAAAUGGACCUGAAGACAUCAGAAGACAAGAGCCGGAGAGAUGGCAAAACAUCUGCAUAGUCCCUAACCUGCUCUGCAGUCCCAGGAAUCAGUGAAGUACCGUGGCAAACAGCAUCCCAUGACUGAAGGACAAGCCAGGCCUGAUGGAUACUCCCCCAACCGUGAAGUAGCCACACACCCCGACUACUCACUACGGGAGACUUUGGUGAGAUUUGUGAAUGUCGUUCUACAAAAUUCUCUCCUGUUUGACUCAGUACCAGGUGUGGGUGAGUUAUAGCUGUGCGGGGACAGCUGGUGGCCUGAGACCAGCAUCAUGUAUGUCAGCCAGUAGCCUUGUGACAAGCUGGCUUUGACCCCAAUUUGAGGCCAGGAAGGAGGAGACACACGCACAAACACACUCAUUCACUCAAACACAUGUGCAUACAUACUCAAACACACAUACUCUUACACACACUCAACACAAACCCACAUAUAUACCCUAUAUACACACUCACACACACAUACACACACACACACACACACACAUACACACACACACACACAUACUCACACACACAUGCCCAAACACACACACAAAUUCAGAGUUAAACAUCAUGGCACAAGAGUGAACUACUCACCAAUGCUGGAACAAGAACAGAAAAAUUGCCCAAAUCUGAUUUGUUUUCCCAGACUUGAGAAUAAACUGUUAAUAAACUAGAAAACAAAUCUCCUGGUAGCAAACAUCCCAUCAAUUAAAAGCCUGGA